UUAGUGUUAUUUUGGCAGAUUAGUGCAUUAAAUUUAGAAUUUAAUUAUGUUUUUAUACAAAUAAUAC
rnacentral:tRNA from 1 species